rnacentral:rRNA from 1 species
GGUUAAGCGACUAAGCGUACACGGUGGAUGCCCUGGCAGUCAGAGGCGAUGAAGGACGUGCUAAUCUGCGAAAAGCGUCGGUAAGGUGAUAUGAACCGUUAUAGCCGGCGAUGUCCGAAUGGGGAAACCCAGUGUGAUUCGUCACACUAUCGUUAACUGAAUACAUAGGUUAACGAGGCGAACCGGGGGAACUGAAACAUCUAAGUACCCCGAGGAAAAGAAAUCAACCGAGAUUCCCCCAGUAGCGGCGAGCGAACGGGGAGCAGCCCAGAGUCUGAAUCAGCUUGUGUGUUAGUGGAACGGUCUGGAAAGUCCGACGGUACAGGGUGAUAGUCCCGUACACCAAAAUGCACAGGCUGUGAACUCGAAGAGUAGGGCGGGACACGUGGUAUCCUGUCUGAAUAUGGGGGGA